ACUUUCAGGCAGGGUCUUAGCUAGGAUUUUAGAUCUUGGGCGUGUUUCUAAUGACCAGGGCGUGCACAUGUCAAUUACUUUGAAUAACAAAAUAAUGGCUCUAGUUAUGCUCGCCAACAACGUCUGUGGUUGUUCUAUGCUUUGCAGCCAAAUACAAGGCGAGCAUACGCUCAUAUUGCGCACUGACAAUUAAGUUAUUUCAACAAAAUUAAAACCAUUUGAACACCAUACAGUUCCCAUUAUCCAUCAAAACAUUAAAACAUCACGGAUCACUUUUGGCAAUUCAACAACAACAGUAGAUUUUACAAAUUUUCUUGACGUAAAUAGGAAGAAAUUCUGUCUGUUGUAAGUAUAGCACCACCUUAUUUUAUGAACCUAUAUACACGGCCUUAUAUAAAUAGUGAGGCCGCGUUCAUUUUAUCUAGCCGUGUUUUUGCACUUUUGGCCGCGAUAACACGGCCAACACGGCCCUCUAGCUAAGACCCUGCUU